UCAUACUCCUUUUUUAUUCUUGUGCUCCGCGUUUCCGACUUGGCUAUUCAUUUUGUUUUGCUUAUAUCUUAGUCAGUUCAGAUCUGUGAGGCAUUGUUGUAUGUUUCAGUUAUUUUUCGUAUUUUAGUGACUCUUUUGAUGUGUGAUAAAUAUUUCAAACUGGGUGAUCAGUAAUCCCAAAAGCGUAAGCUUUUAGGAAAAAGAGCCCACUGUUCUAACAUCGCUCACGUGAAAGUAAACCCAAUUGCUUGGCGCAAGCCCAAACGAAGAAUGAUGAUGCAUAAAUUUUUUUUUUAACUAAUUACUUGGUAAACUAAAGUGGGGCAAAUACAUGUUUCGAACUCAGAAGCUAUGAUAUCAUGAUAAAUAUCUUGAAUUGGAUGACCAAUAAUUCCAAAAGAUUAAGCUUUUAGGAAAGGACCCAUUAUGUAAUAGGUUCUAAUAAUGUGGUUGCUAGGGUUACUUGAAGGAGAAUUGUGAAAUGAUUUCUUUAUUCUAUCUUAAUUUUGCUUAAUUUUAAGAUAUUUUCAUAAACUGCCCAGGGAUUUUAUUAUGCUUUUAAUAGCCUCUUCGUAGGGUAUUAGUGGUUUAUAUGCUGUACUCAUGCAUUUUCCGUGCAAUUUGUAUUCAUCUGUUCAUGCACUGAUAUCAUUGGAUGGCACCGUCUAACAUUGGGCAUUAUUGUAAGCUUGGGAACUGUCAUCUGUGGAGUACAUGAUUGACCCUCACUCAAUCUUCAGAGGAGAAGAUGAACUGCUUGGCUCAGUGUGUAUUGGUGCUUUGGGUCUCAUGGAAACGGCAGGCGCAUCAACCAUACAGUCGUUGUUCCUGAACCUGCAUUUUCUUUGUCGGAUGCCCCUGCACUCAAAAAUGCAAGCCAUCCAUCUGAACCGAGGCUUCUAUAUGUUGCACCUCCUUUCUCUCCGGUUUCCUUUCUGCCAUCGGGUACUUCAUCUGCUGGUCAAUCUCCUGUAUGUCCUCUAUCUCUUUCUGUUCUGUUACCAAGUUUGUAUUCUCCCAGCGGCCGAGUUUCACCUCCUGUCGUUUCCACCUUCACAGCCAAACCUUCGACUGCUCACUGUAUCCCUCACCAGAACCCUUGCAUUGCAGAACACCUUCAUCUCCUGAGGUGCCAGUAGCCAAAUUGUUGUUUACUUCCCUCGAUACCAACUGCAAGAAGAGUGAGGUGUAUAAGCUCCAAUCCUACCAGUUCUAUCCUGGAAGCCCAAUAGGUUGCCUCAUAUCACCAAGCUUGGGUUGUUCAGGUACUUCAUCGCCUUUCCCUGAUCCCAAAUUCUAUUCCUGUUCUGGUGGCUACUUCCAAUUGUUCCCUAUUGGUGGACCACCAAAAAUCUUAAUUGCUGAAGGGAUUGCUGCACGGCAACUUACACCAGCACAUACUCAAAAUGGUGGGUCACUUUUAGAUCGUCGGAUAUCGGCAGCUGCAUCAAUAGAGGAGUCUGCUACCAUGCCUAAGAAUAAUGAACACUUGGUGGAUCAAUGAGCAUCAUUUGAAUAACUACACAAGAGUUUUCGUUCUGGUUGUAAAUGAAAGUAGCAGAUAGCAGGAGAAUCAGCACUGAUGAUACCUGCCAUGACUUGCCUGAGAAAGUACUGGCUUCUGUUUCCCUCUCUCCGGCUAAAAGAGUUCAAAUUUGAUGGAGGGGGUAUUGUCAGAGCCUAAUGUUGGUUCAGACUGGUGGGCCAGUGAGAAGGCCGCUACACAGCAACUGAGCAUCUGGAAGAGUUGGAAAUUCUUCCCAAGAAUACAUCCAGGUGUAAGCUGAAAGGUCACUUUGCCUUGCUUCAUAUACGUCAAGGGAGGAUCCUAUGUCAACUGACCACUGAGUGUCCUCAUCUGAAAUCCCAACGGCAAGUAUCAGAACCACCUUUUAAUAUCUUUGCUCAAGUUACAGUGAAGCAAUUCAAUUGGGCUACAUGAAUUUGACUUUCAGAGAUAGUACAGUUCAUAAAGAUAAGAUUUCAAAUGUCUCUUGAUAUGAACUGCAUUUCAUUGUAACAUAUUUGGUGGAAUCAUGGGUUCUGUUCGAGAAUUUCCAAGCAGGUACCUCUAUAUAUUUGGUUCUGAUUCAUCUUCUGUUUACUAUUUGCCUUACAACAGCUACUGCUUGGAAAUGUGUUGUUGUUUCACUUUCUCACGUUUUCACGACUCCUCCAAGGAAUUCAUGUUGUUGCAUGGACCAUACCUA